rnacentral:lncRNA from 1 species
CCGUACGCAGCCCCGGUUCCCGCUCGCGCCUCUCCCUCCACAUCUCCCUGCAAGCUGAGGGAGCCGGCUCCUGCCUUGGCCAGCCCAGAAAGCGGCUCCCAUAGUGCAGUGGUGAGCUGAAGGGCUCCUCAAGUGCUGCCAAAGUGGGAGGCCAGGCAGAGGAGGCGCCGAGAGCAAGCGAAGGCUGUGAGGACUGCCAGCACGCUGUCACCUCUCAAUACUACAGACAGAAAGAAACUGCAGUAAUUCCAGUGAAAGAAACCUCAUUCCUGAGCUACUGACAGAAUUCUACUACCACCUACACUUGGAAAACCAUUUGGCUAAGAUAAAAAAUAAUUUAAUAUUGGGGCAGGUUUUAAUUCCUUUGGAAUUUCAGCACACAAAGCAAUAUAAUUACAUCAAGAAAAACUCUCCCUAACCAUGGUUUGCCUCUGCUCUGUCACCACAACAAUAAUCAUCAACACACAAGAAGACUUCUGUGGCCAAAUAUGUGUGGGAUUUUCCCAUGCACCAAGCAGUGGAUACCAGCUGGGUGUCCUCCAAUUCAAUUCUGACACAGUCUACCUGGAGAUUGUGUCAGAGCCCACGUGUUGGGGGCUCCGUCCCUAAAAUUGCCUCUGACACCCUCAGAGAGCAAAGUGCAACCCCAGGCCUCUGGAACAUCUGACUGAAUGGCUUCAAGCUGGGGUUCCCAUUAUUACAGGUAGCUAGACUGGCAUCAGUGGAGCAGGAGAGGGCUCCCUGCCACCCCACUAGGAACCUUGGGUGAUGGUUCAGUAAUUAUUACACUGACUCUCUAAAAGUGAUAAAUUUGCAGCUGGUGCCAGGAAGAGGCCAUUUCCUGAUGGUCCACACCUGUUAAGAUUAAAGUGUUAAUUAAAGGCAAGCCCCAGGGAGAAGCAACUUCCUGGGCAUACGCCUUAAGAGAAAAAAUGGCGAACUAUGAUCUUCCAGGUGUACUCCACUGGAAAAAGGAAGAAAGCCUCAGAUGGGAAUGCGUACAACUUCCUAAACACACUGCUCUUGCUCAAUUCCCAAGGGUAAGCCCACCCUAAAGGAAGAAUCAUGAGAAAGAGGCGAGCCUACAAAGUCCCAGUAUCAAGGUUAAAGGCCCUUCUUUUCUCUCGUUUACCUUCAGGUGCCCAUGGAUCUCUUCCAAGGAUUCUUUCCUUUCUUUCCUGUUCUAAAGCUUUUUAAUAAACCUCCACUCCUGCUCUAGAACUUGCCUGGGUCUCUUUUCUUCUUUAUGCCCCUUAGCGAAUUCUUUCUUCUGAAGAGGCAAAGGCUGAAGUUGCUGCAGACCCACACAGAUAUGCUGCCUGUAACUUGGCUGUCUUCCACUGCCAACACCAUGACCCCUUGUUUGGUUUCCAUUAAUUUGCUGGAGAGGCUCACAGAAUUUAUGGAAAUAUUUAUACAUUUACUGACUUAUUAUAAAGGCUAUUGCAAAGGAUACAUACAAACAGGUGUGUAGGGAGAGGUAUGGGGGAAGGGGCAUGGAGCUUCCAUGGCCUCCCUGGGCAGUACUCUCUGGGAACUUCCCUGUGUUCAGAGAUCCAGAAGCUCCUCAAACCCAGUCCUCCUGAAUUUUUAUGGAAGCUUCAUAAUGUCAGCAAUCCUUCCCCCAGGGUAUAGGUUGGGACCUUCUGUGGGGAGAUAUUUAAGACCCAGAAUCAAAAAAGCAGGAGUCCUGCCUUCAGGAAAGUGAAAAGACAGGAGAAGGUCAGAGAGAUCCUGUUUCCUGAGGCCUAUCGCUGAGGCCUAACACACCCAACAUUACAACAAAAGACUUGUAUCAAGGGUUAUGGGAGUUAUGUCAUAAUACUACAAUAAUACAUUUACUAUAGACACCAUGUUGUACAGUAAAUCUCUUGAAAUUCUUCCUCCUAUCUAACUGAAAUUUUGUAUCUUUUGACCAACAUCUCCCCAACCCAACCUCCUCCAACUACCCUAGUCUCUGGUAACCACCAUUCUACUCUCUGCUUCUAUAAUCAAAAUUUUUAAGAAUUUUAAAUAAAUUUUAAAUGAAUAGUUCAAUAACAUUUUCCAAGAUUGAAAAGUAAUAAUGUUCUUAAUGGAAAGGCGCACCCAGCAAGAUGAAUUCCAAACAAGACGAAUAAAGUUGCACACCAACAUUUGUCAUAAUGAAUUAUCAGAGCACCAGAGAAAAACAGAUGUAUACAAAGGAUCCAGAGAGAAAUGAACUGAAAAUCAACAAAUAAGAAAAAUAAUAUCCUCUACAAAGAAAAAGUAAAAAUGGCAUUGGACAUCUUGACAGUAAUAUUGGAAGACAGAAGCAAUGUGAGCAAAGGCUUCAAAAUUAUGAAAAAGAAUUAUGUCCUGCCUAGAAUUCCUACUUUCAGCCAAACUCUAAAUAUCUAAAACAAGAGUAGAAUAAAAACAUAAUGAGAUAUGCAUCAUUGUAAUAAAUUGCUUUUCCAUCUAUUUAUAUGGCAAAUACACUGGGAGAUGUGUUGCUUCAAAUCCAGAGUAAAAAUAUCCUGGCUACUGUGGAAUGUUUUGACUAAUGAAAAGUUGUCUUUACAACCAAACUGAUUAUUGCAAUACUCCUAAGAACAGAUGUGGCCUGGAUACAGCAGUCAAUACCACAGGCAUUUCUGAGGAGUUGGAAAAUUGAAUAACUGACACUUUUUAAAUUUUUAUUGUUUAAUGCCAACUCCAUUCAAUAACUUCUGACUCACAUAGGCUACCUGGGCUGGGUCAGUUUCUUUCACUUUGUCAUAUUGCACAGCAGAGUAUACUUGCCCGUGCAUUUUUCUUAUCCCAUAUGAUUUCAUUUUUAUCUUUUUUUUAAUCAAACAUGUCCUGGUAUUACACCAAAGUCAGAAAAGAAGGGAGUCCAAUUAAUCACACAAACUAAAUUAGUUGAGGUUUUAAUUUGAAUUUUAAAAAAGUUCCUAUUCUUAUUUACUGCAAAGGGUCGAUAGUAUGGUUCUCAUUUUUCUCUCAGGAGUAGAAAACAGCAAUAUAUUUAAUAAAACAAAUUUU